UCAGCAAUCUCUCAGCCCAAUAUUCUUCUAGGGAUUGGUGGUGGAGCAAAAAAGGCACUCAAUUCUCCUAUAAAUACCACCCCUAUCCUAGACCCUUUUCUCUGCCUAACCUUCACCUACUUCUUCCUCUCUCUCUCUCUCUCUCUCUCUCUCUCUCUCUCUCUCUCUCUCACAAGCUUUUCUUGCUUUUAGGGUUUUCAGGGGUGUCCAGUGAAUGGUCCUCUUUGUAUUCUUCCACAGCUUUCUUGAACUGCAUAUAUUAAUUGGGAUCUUUUUGAAGCGAGUACACACACACUCACCACUCUUUCAAACAAGUCCUUGUUUCGAUUGCGGUUCAAGCUAGCUGUGGGAAGAUACAAAUAGGGCCAAGGAAAAAUUCUCCGUCCGGAUCAUCUCCGUGUGGAUAGAUGCUGCUGAUUCCGUCGGCAAAAGAGAUAAUAAAGAAGUAGUUUGGGUGAUCCAUUACGCAUCGACUGGACAAUUUGAAUGGUUGUUUGCUAGCUAUAGUAUCUGUCCUUUGAUCAAUGUUCAAUUUAUGUUCUCUUCAAAAAGAAAGAAGAAAAAGACAACCUUGCAAUAAACAAGUCACAACAGUGGCCUUUUCUUUCUGCAAUUCUAUUUAUAAUGCUUUCAUUUCAGAGGGAAAGAUGAUGAGAUUCACAAAAGUUGAAUCUAAUCUCCAUUCUUUUGUUAUGAUAUGAUAAAGGCCGACAAACAUUAUUACC